GGAGGAAGGAGGGGGCAGGGGGAGCUGUUUAUUGCUCGCAUCAGAAUAUCCGAAUUGCAACUAAAAAGCUGACUGCCCAGCCUGGCCAAUCUCCCACUGGGCGGGGAGCUUCCAGCAGCUUCUGAGGCUCAGUGGCCACACGCUGCCCCCCUUGUGGUGAGCACCUGGGGACCCCCAGGCCACCGGCCCUGAGAUGACAGAGAUGAGCGUUGGACCCUGUGACGGGAGCCCGGGCACCGAGGGACCCCAGGCCAAAAGCUCUGUCCCCACGGAGCCUGGGACCUGCCGCUCUGCCUGUCCCCAGGAACCCGCCGGGCCCCGGCACUUCAGGAGGAACCCUGAGCCCCUCGGCCUUCGUGUCUGGCUUCUCUCCCUCGUGUGCCGGCUUCGGGGCUCCCCCAUGUCAGGGUUCCAGUCCUGCUUACGGCCGAGUAACAAGUUCCCUGCACGUCUAGGUGUACACCAAGAGAACUGAAAACACGUGUCUGCACAAAAGUCUUUACACGCGUGUUCUUAGCGAAUUACUCACAGGAGCCAAAGGGUAGAAGCAGCCGAAGCACCUGCCAACGGGUGACGGGUGGACGGAGGAGCUGUGUCCGUCCGAUGGAAUGUUG